GUCUGUGGCCAUACCACCCUGAACACAGUCUGCUCUCAGAAGCUAAGCAGGGUUGGGCCUGGUUAGUACUUGAAAAGGAAACAUCCAAUUGGAAAUAUUCAGUAAUUAGUUG
rnacentral:rRNA from 1 species